CCAUGAUAGAUGGGGAAUUAGCGAUGCCCUGUAACCUGCAAUCGCUACAGCAGGAUUGAAUUCCCAUCGGAGGACUUAAAUUGUGCAGCCUGCCCCAAGUGUGUGGCGUUGAUAAUAGGGUCCUGCGCAACGUAUGCUUGUGAACCGUGUCAGGUCUUGACGGAAGCAGCACUAAGCAAGAUUUUAUGUGUGCCGCAGGGGUGCCUUAUUUGAGUUAACUGCUUGGGUACCGUGUGUAGUUUAAUUUCGAUGAUGGGUUCAUGG
rnacentral:SRP_RNA from 1 species